rnacentral:rRNA from 1 species
CACGUAGGGCGCGAGCGUUUGUCCGGAAUUAUUGGGCGUAAAGAGCUCGUAGGCGGCCUGUUGCGUCCGCUGUGAAAGCCCGGGCUUAACCCCGGGUCGGCAGUGGAUACGGGCAGGCUAGAGGUAGGUAGGGGAGAAUGGAAUUCCCGGUGUAGCGGUGAAAUGCGCAGAUAUCGGGAGGAACACCGGUGGCGAAGGCGGUUCUCUGGGCCUUACCUGACGCUGAGGAGCGAAAGCGUGGGGAGCGAACAGG